rnacentral:rRNA from 1 species
GGUACGCUGGCGGCACGCCUAACACAUGCAAGUCGAACGAAAUAGCAAUAUUUAGUGGCGAACGGGUGAGUAUAAUGUGGGUAUCUGCCUUUUGGUUUGGGAUAACACGGGGAAACUUGUGCUAAUACCGGAUAAGCCUUUACAGGGAAAGUUUUAACGCCAAAAGAUGAGCCCGCACUUGAUUAGCUAGUUGGUAGGGUAAUGGCUUACCAAGGCUACGAUCAAUAGCUGAUCUGAGAGGAUGAUCAGCCACAUUGGGACUGAGACACGGCCCAAACUCCUACGGGAGGCAGCAGUGGGGAAUCUUGCACAAUGGGGGAAACCCUGAUGCAGCGAUGCCGCGUGAGUGAAGAAGGCCUUUGGGUUGUAAAGCUCUUUCGUCGGGGAAGAAAAUGACUGUACCCGAAUAAGAAGGUCCGGCUAACUUCGUGCCAGCAGCCGCGGUAAUACGAAGGGACCUAGCGUAGUUCGGAAUUACUGGGCUUAAAGGGCUCGUAGGUGGUUAGAAAAGUUGGUGGUGAAAUCCCAAGGCUUAACCUUGGAACUGCCAUCAAAACUUUUUAACUAGAGUAUGAUAGAGGAAAGUGGAAUUUCUAGUGUAGAGGUGAAAUUCGUAGAUAUUAGAAAGAACACCAAUUGCGAAGGCAACUUUCUGGAUCAUUACUGACACUGAGGAGCGAAAGCAUGGGUAGCGAAGAGGAUUAGAUACCCUCGUAGUCCAUGCCGUAAACGAUGUGUGCUAGACGUUGGAAAUUUAGUUUUCAGUGUCGCAGCGAAAGCGUUAAGCACACCGCCUGGGGAGUACGACCGCAAGGUUAAAACUCAAAUGAAUGACG